GCUGCACACUAUUAAAGCUCGGGGUGGAGGCCAGUCUUGGCCGAUGAACUUCUGAGUGUCGGAAGUGUGCUAUAUUAAUGGCAGGACUUUCGCUGACACCAGUAGAGCUUGCCUCUAUGACUGGAGUUGAUAGUGCUCUCUGCCACAUUC
rfam:Myotis brandtii contig172816, whole genome shotgun sequence.